CACAGAAAGGGAAGGUUUCCACAUCAUUAUGUAAUGCAUCUUGUGAGUGGGGUGAGGAGCCUUACUUUGAUGACUGUGGAGGGAUUGAAACGUAUUCUGUAUUUCAAUCAGGUUCAAAGGAUGAAAGAGCUGCCGACGUUUAUACAACCGCCUGUGUUGCUAUUCAAUGUUCUGUGCUGCCGAAUUGCACAUUGCACUACGAACAAAACUGUUCUCUUCUAUAUAAACCGUUCUGUGACACGACAGAAUCAAACACAUCAGCAACAUGGAUCGAAUCCAUGAGGAUUUGUAGAUCAAUGUCAUAUUUGCCUGAUUUUAGUAAAGAAAUAUUUCUACAUGAUAUUAACAAGACGUGUAAGG